UCCCUUCCUCCCUUCUCUGAUCUCGGUGAACAACGGCGACGGAUCUCGAUCGGUGGAUUUCGCCGGCUGUCGGGAGGGAACCAAGGGCAUCGGCGUUGGAUCAGGCCAGCAUCGAUUGUUUGGAGGAGGUGGUUCUUUCUGGGAAGCAGAGACUGGUAUUUUGGUCCCGGCCACCACAGCUCUGUUGGAUCGAUCUCUUCUUCGUAUCAGUGAUCGUCUCCGGUGAUUGAAGGGUGCAGAGAGGAUGCGAUGUGCUUAUUUUAGAUACUGGAUUGGGAAGUGCAGAGAAUCAAGCAAGGGUCAAGGAGUUGCUUCAUGUGGAGGAAUCAA